GUGGGGUAAUGGCCCACCAAGGCGACGACGGGUAGCCGGCCUGAGAGGGCGACCGGCCACACUGGGACUGAGACACGGCCCAGACUCCUACGGGAGGCAGCAGUGGGGAAUAUUGCGCAAUGGGCGAAAGCCUGACGCAGCGACGCCGCGUGAGGGACGAAGGCCUUCGGGUUGUAAACCUCUUUCAGCAGGGACGAAGCGAAAGUGAUGGUACCUGCAGAAGAAGCACCGGCCAACUACGUGCCAGCAGCCGCGGUAAUACGUAGGGUGCAAGCGUUGUCCGGAAUUAUUGGGCGUAAAGAGCUCGUAGGCGGUUUGUCACGUCGGAUGUGAAACCCUGAGGCUCAACCUCAGGCCUGCAUUCGAUACGGGCAGACUAGAGUACUGUAGGGGAGACUGGAAUUCCUGGUGUAGCGGUGAAAUGCGCAGAUAUCAGGAGGAACACCGGUGGCGAAGGCGGGUCUCUGGGCAGUAACUGACGCUGAGGAGCGAAAGCGUGGGGAGCGAACAGGAUUAGAUACCCUGGUAGUCCACGCCGUAAACGGUGGGUGCUAGGUGUAGGUCGUAUUCCACGCGAUCUGUGCCGCAGCUAACGCAUUAAGCA
rnacentral:rRNA from 1 species